GAAGGAGGGAUCUUAAGGAAGAGGGGCAUCUUCAUGAAGAAGAAAGGUCCUGAGGCGGGAGUGUCACUGCUGUGAGAUUCCUCGGGAAAUGCUGAACCAGACAUAGAUACAAAGGACUUUUCCCUGCUUUGGAAGCCUGAUACCUGUGUGGAGGAUGGCUGAGUCUUCACUAGUGCGGUAUCAUUCCCAAAGCGACUUCAGCAAGCUCCUGAGCUCUCCAAUGCCAGGUCCAGCCCAGAUCCCGAAGCCUGGCUUUGUGCCAGGCAGGCUGUCACCAAAAAGACCCUUUCAUGUCACGCCAGGGUAGGUAUGAAAUCUUCUGGAGGUGGUGACUUCUUCUCCAAGCUCCCCAAGACAAUGAGUAAAUUAUCCAACUGUUGAAGUCUCUGGAGUCUGGGCGAGUGUAUGAUGCAUAACCCUGUUCCUCUGAAACUGAGGCAUUGUGCUGAUACUUUUAAAGGAUUGAAUUACCUAUUUCUGUAUUUCAUGCCUCUCAACUUUUGCUUUGACCAUCUUUUGAGCACUUUUUUUCCAGUUAUAUGGACUUCCUACAGGACUCGAGUUGCCCCAUAUCAUUCGUAAAUGUUGUUGGAAGGACAGCACAUGUUAAUGUUGAUGAAGCAGUCAAAUGUUACUGAAGAAGAAAUUUACCAUCUUUAUUUCUGUAGUAGUUCAGGAUAUAAAAAA